CGCAUUCUCUUGUUACUACUGCCUCCUGCAGCCUCUGCUUGUCCACUCUGUUCCCGGUGCAACCCCUGUGUGCCCUGCAUGGCUUAGAGGUUCUUCGUCACAAGUUGCCAAAAUGAAACAGAACUGUGAAAAGAAAAUGGAGAUGCUUCUUCAGGAGGUGCCCGUGAUGUGAUUUACUUGAUGAUUAUGGCCUGCAGGGUAUUGAGAUGGGAUUAUGUAACUUAAAUAAACUGGAUAUGAGUAGAGAUCUGAAAGAUUUUUCAAAAACAUUCAGCUUUACUUUUUUUUUUCUCCUAAGGAACAAGUUGUUCACUCAUAGAGCUGAAAAGGAUAAAUGAAGUGUUCAGUUCACAGAAGCAAAAUAUGAGUAGUUCAUAUAUCUUUUGUAAAUGUUCUAUGUAUCACUGUAAACUAGACAUCUUCCACAUGCCCCUAUGUUUUUCCAUUUUGAAAUCAAUUUCUAGUUCAAACUUGUCAAUAGACAAUGAAUAUUUGCAAAGUUAUAGUUUCACUGAAUUAGGAUGUAACCUGUAGCUCACAAUGAAAAUGCCAUUAGCUUGAGUUUAAAAUUUAUGUUGCUAUUUUUUUCUUUUGUCAAUAUUUUCCUUCUGUGGGACUUAUUGCACAAGGGUCGGAUAUCACAACUGAGGGAAACUGCAGAACAAUGGUUCUUCCAAUCAUUCAGACCCAUUUAAGCCAUAGUCUUUGUUGGCUUUGCCAAAUGACUGAAUGCUUGGGUCUAUUAGCACUGUCAAAUAGUGUUGAGUACAUACUUGUGGCAUAAGCAAGUUAAUAUUUAUAGGGAGCACUUUUGCAUGUCUUUUAAGUCACAUACUAAUUUUGGAAAGUCUCUAUGCUUUAUAUUUUGCCCUGAAAACAGAUAUUCUAGUUUAAAAAUGUUAAUUUAGUGAUUAGAAACCGCUGUAUAUAUUAUUACAUAUAUUGUCUAACAAUUGAAGAUAAUUAUGUUUAUUAAUUGCAAAUAACAGGACACAUAAAUAAUAAACUUUAAGAUCUCAAAUACAAUGGCUAAAUAUUGCUGAUUCCUUUUUGCCUUCUUUGACUUAUUUUUUUCCAUGUGUUCUCUUCCUUUAUAGAAGUGUAUUUUUUAGCUAUGUGAUGUAGA
rnacentral:lncRNA from 10 species